rnacentral:rRNA from 1 species
ACGCUCGACACCUACGUGAGGCAGCAGUGGGGAAUAUUGCACAAUGGGGGAAACCCUGAUGCAGCGACGCCGCGUGAGCGAAGAAGUAUUUCGGUAUGUAAAGCUCUAUCAGCAGGGAAGAAAAUGACGGUACCUGACUAAGAAGCCCCGGCUAACUACGCGCCAGCAGCCGCGGUAAUCUGAGCGGGCUGGCAAGGC